GUUAGAGAAUUAGCAUUUAAUUAUCUUACCUGGUAUCAAUAUCAAUUUUCUGAUAUUUAUUGCUUUUCCUUUCCAAUUUAGGACUAUUUCUUCACAGAUACCAUAGGUAGAAUUUGUAGGUUGAAGGUUAAAGACAGGUUUUGACCUUUGACACAUGGUACCUACUUGUUUUCACUUCCUCCAGUAGUGUUUAAGGGUACUCUCAUGACAUUAUAAGCACUGAGUUUUUAUAAAAAGAAAAAGGAUAUUAACACAAACAUUAGGCAGAAAAUGACAAUGUAUUGAUUGAAAAAUUACAUACCUUUGAUUCCUAGUAAGCUGGAUAUUUUCCCCAAAGAUGGCUAGUUAUUUUCAUUUCCACUCUUUGUGGAUCUUUUGUACACAUCCAUUUUCCAUUUAUCUUUUGAGAUCGUUUCUCCCUUCUUAUUGGGAAGUAUAUGUGAUACAUACAGAGGAAUAUAUAAAAUGUACAUACAGCUUGAAAUAUAAUUAUACGGAGAACUGUGCAACCAACCAGCCCUCAAGAUAGGAACCCGCAUGUAAAAUGUUUUCCCAUCGCUCUUCCUGCCCACUGGCCCAAGGCCCACUUUCCCUCCUAGAACAUCACCUUCCCUCUUCCUGCCUCCCUCCCUCACCCAAAACAUGACCCUGACUUUGGAUCAUCAAUCCCUUGCUUUUCUUAAUAUUUUUAAACAAUUUCAUUUAGUUGUGCCUGUUUUCGAACUUCAUAAAAAUGGAAUCAUACUCUGAACUCUCAUGAGUGGAUCAUUUUCUGUAACAGUUUGUUCAUAGGAUUCAUUCAUGUUAAGGUGUGAAGCUGUAGUGGACCACAAUAAUUAUUCUAUCUAUUUAUUUCAGCAAUUUCAAAUACAAUAGAAAACGUUCUCUAUCAUGUUUAAGGGAAACGUUUUUCCAGUUUUAAAAAUUUUAUUUUAUUAUCAUUGUUUUCAGGUUGAAUGGGCUGAAGAGGAGGAAAAGAAGGUAUUGGUGUGUGUUGAUGUCUCAAGGGUGGUAGAGGCAGAAAAAAAAGUCUGUGUAUACGUGGACCUGCAUGGUUCAAACCCCCAUUGUUCAAAGCUCAGCUGUUUUCACAGGAUUAAAUGAGAUGAUGCAUUUUUCAUGCAGGAUACUUUACCUGGAAUUGAGGAAGUGCCCCAAAAUAUUAGUCAUUAUAUCAUUUUUCUUGUUCAUUGAAGAAUAGACUUGAAAGGGGAGUGAAAGUUGGGAGAAAAAUGAACUAUGAAGAAAAUUUUGAGAAAGAUAUUUGACAAAUUAUCUUUAUAUUCAUUCUUAGCCAAUACUUACUGAGCAAUUACUCUGUGCUGUACACUGCUCUUUGUGUCUGAAAUAUAGUAGUGGACAAAACAGUUAUUUCCGUCCUUGUAGAGCUUAUGUUCUACUUGGAAUAGGAAGUGGGUACAGAGUACUUAAUAAGCAAUAAAUAAAUU
rnacentral:lncRNA from 1 species